rnacentral:rRNA from 1 species
GACGAACGCUGGCGGUGUGCUUAACACAUGCAAGUCGAACGGUAAGGCCCUGCUAGCGUGGGGUGCUCGAGUGCCAAUCGUGUGAGUAAGAGGUGAAUAACCUGCUCUUGACUUUGGUAUAACUUCACGUAACUGGGCCUAAUACCGUAUAGCAGCUCCUGCUGCAUGGUGGGCGUUGGAACGUUUCGGCGGGCGGGGAUGGAUUCGCGGCUUACCAGCUUGUUGGUGGGGUAGUGGCUUACCAAGGCUGUGGCGGGUAGCCGGCAUGAGAGGGUGACCGGCCACAUGGGUACUAAGAGACGGACCAGUCCCGAACGGGGGGCAGCAGUGGGGAAUAUUGCCCAAUGGGAGGACGCGUGAUGCAGCAGCCCCGCGGGCGGAAGGACGGCCUGCUGGGGGUAAACCGCUUUCGCUUGAUACGAAGCGUGAGUGACGGUAACGGGUAAAGAAGCACCGGCUAACUACGUG